UUAGUUUAUUACUCAUGGCAACAAGGGAGAAGUGUGGGGUGAUUCAGUAAGAUGGUGAUUAUAGGAUCUUGGCUUUUGUUGGGUAAUUUGGGGGAGGGUCUAAGUAAGUAGGGGUUCUGAAUUGGGUGCUCUCAGAAAACCAGGGCAAUUCUAGGAUCUGAAAUCUUAUCUAUAAGGAUGGCAGACUAAAGGAGGGAUAAAGGUGAAACUGAUAAAGUAAGUCACUCGUUUAGCAAGAGGGAGGUUUGGUGUUUUGAGUUGGACAGUAACCAACUUGUCUGAAGUGUAUGUUAUGUGAAAAACAGAAGAAAAGCAUAGUUUGCCGAAAGCGUCAUAUCAAUCUGUAAUAGCAUUGAGGCUUACUUGUGUUAGAUUAGUUCCCAGAUGUCAGGCACUUCUUGCUCUUCUCAACCCACCCUAGUCAGGACUUUCCGUCCCUCCCGGCACACCCCACUAGUCUACUAAACUGUACAUGAAAAGGUCAUCAUUCAUCUCCACAAAAUCGAAUUGUUAAUUGCAAGUCCUAAUUUACUUGGAGUAUCAGAAAUUUGUUACAAAUUUUAUCACUCCAUGCUGGAUCCACAUCUCCCCCUUGGCUUCCAGCACACUAACGCUUUCUUGUUUUCUACCCUAUCUCACCAGCUACUUCCUUUCUCUCCUAUCUCUUCACUUGGGAGUGCUCCAUCGAUGGUUUUCCUUUUUUUCUCCAUUAACGGUAACACCAUCCUUCUAGUUGCAUGGAUGAAAAAUAUUGGAAACAUUAUUGAUUCCUAUCUCUCCAACCCCAUUGUGAAAGUGUCUUUCAAUAUUCCCCUCCCAUAUUGACUGUGAGCUUGGCCAUGUGACUAACUUUGGCUAAUAGGACAACAGAAAGCAUGAUGCAAACAGUGUCUUGAGGAGAACUCACACAAUGGAGUUUGGAUCCAAGCUGCCAAGUAACAAAUCAGUAUUCUGAGACCACCAUGCUGAGGGAGCCUAAGCCAGCCAUGUGGAGAGAAGCAUGUGGAAGACAGAGAAGGCAUGUGGAGAGCACUGACACUGAGACUUGUAAACAAGGCUGUCCUAGACCUUCCAUCCCAGCACACCAAUUAAAUACAGCCAGGUGGCUAUCUCCAGCUCAUACUACGUGGAACAGAACUGCUCACCUGAGUCUUGCCUGAAUUCUGACCCACAAAACCAUAAGCAAAUACAAUUCAUAUUGUUUUAAGCUACUAACUUUUAGAAGUUUGUUACAUAGCAAUAGGUAACUGAAACACCCACAUAAGAUCUAUCAGGAAAUCCUGUUGGUCUACCUUCCAUGUAUCCAGAAUCAGGCUUCUCAUCUUUACUGCUAGCACCUUGGCUUAAAACAUCAUCUCACUGGGAUUACUGCAAUGGUUUCAUAACUGAUUUUCCUGCUUCAGUUUGUCUCUCUAAACUCUAUUCUUAAUGCAACAUCCAGAAUAAUCCGGUAUAAACAAGCCAGAUCUUGUCAUUCCACUCAAAACCCUCCAAGGGCACCCUGUUUUACUCAGUAAGAUGUAUCCUUACAAGAUAUCCACCCACUCCCCCAUCUACUAUUGCUUUUCUUCUCCUUACUCACUCUACACAAGCCAAAUUGGUCUCCUUGUCAAUCCUGGAAUAUGUUAGGCAUGGCUUUCCUUAGGGUUUUUUUUUGUUUUUUUGAGACAGGGUCUCACUCUGUCACCCAGGCUGGAGUGCAGUAGCGUGAUCUUGGAUCACUGCAGCCUCCGCAUCCCGGGUUCAAGCAAUCCUCCUGCCUCAGCCUCUGGAGUAGCUGGGAUUACAGGCAUACAGGACCACACCUGGCUAAUUUUUGUAUUUUUGGUAAACAUAGGGUUUCACCAUGUUGGCCAGGCUGGUCUUGAACUCCUGACCUUAAGUGAUCCACCCGCCUCAGCCUCCCAAACUGCUGGGAUUACAGGGAUGGGCCGCCACAACCGGCUUCCUCUUCUUAUAAAGAUGCCAGUCUUACUGGAUCGGGGCGCCACCCUAAUGAUCGCAUGUUAAUUUGACUACAUCUGCAACUCUAUUUCCAAAUAAGGUCACGUUCACAAGGUACAGGGGUUGGGACUUCAACCUAUCUUUUUGAGGGACAUAAUUCAACCUAUAACAGAGGGCUACAUUCCUUAACUUCAGCCACUAGUUGUCUGCUACUUUAUAGCUAGUUUUAAAGCUCUAUUUCAGUCACAGAUCCUGUUUUUGAUAUUAUUCAAUGAUGAAAACUUCUCAUAAAUAAUCUAAAUUCACCAAAAUAUGAGGUCAAUAUAAAUGUAAAGUUCAUGUUUACUGAAAAAAGAGAUAAUGUUAAUAAAAUAGUAAAUCCAUCCAAUUGGCAAAUAAUAGUAUACCUAUUCCUGGCAAUCCUCCUGGGAGGUUUCAAAGUUAAGAAAUAGACAAGCCUUGUUCUACGAGAGCUUAUAUUCCAGAAAAGAAGAUAAAACCUCUGUUGAAACGAUUACAAGGUAAAAGUUAGAAGUGCCCCAAUUAUGGAUACUGUGCUUAAGGAAAGAGUGCUAUGGAAGAGCGGUAGGACUAGAGGACACAGGUAUCCCGAAAGAAUGAAGCCAGCAAAAUUUCAACAAGAGGUAGUUCAUUAAAAACAAAUGAAAAAAUAAAAUAAAAGUUAAAUGAUUGAGUACAUAUUUCAAGAACCUCUGCCCUGAGAAGAUAUAAAGCACAAACGCAAAGAUUAAUGACAUUGUGAAUACAUUUUUAUAAAGCAGUUGUAACCUUAUAUAAAAAUGAAGUAUCUUUUUUCUUAGAAAUGUAGAAUUGCUCAUUAAAAAAACUGUAAAGUUAAAAAGUGAACAUUUCCACACUUGGCUUAACAAAUGCUUGACUAUGUUACCAAACAUUCUCAGUCCAAAGAUCAAAUAUAUUUCUGGAAAAACAACAUUAUUAUAAUAUGGACACCCAAGUACCAAAAUAAAUAUUUUUUUUAAAUGGACCCAUGUUAGUAUUUGAAAUAACUGGUAAUGGUUAACACUAUUUAUGCUUUAAAUGGAGUAACUGCUGGAAACACAAUUAAUGAGCCCAGAACAGGUUAUGUGAACUGUGGAGAAAUACUGUUCUUUUUGAAAGACAAGCAACAUAGGCUGGUACAGUGGUUCACGCCUGUAAUCCCAACACUUUGGGAGGCCGAGGAGGGUGGAUCACGAGGUCAGGAAAUUGAGACCAUCCUGGCUAACAUGGUGAAACCCCGUCUCUACUAAAUAUACAAAAAAUUAGCCGGGCGGGGUGGCGUAUGCCUAUAGUC
rnacentral:lncRNA from 1 species